AUGCAAGACUAUUUCACGGAGAAUCCUACAUAUCCUCCACACCUCUUCCGGAGAAGGUACCGAAUGCGUCGAUCCCUCUUUGUGAAACUUGUUGAAGCUUGCAAGGCAAACUGCCGGUAUUUUACUCAAAGAAGAAAUAUCGCGGGCUUAAAGGGAUUUAGUGCAUAUAAAAAAUUCUCCGCAACUAUGCGGGUGAUUGCAUAUGGUGGUGUUCCAGCUAACUAUGCCGAUGAGUAUCUUCGCAUUGGUGAAGAUAGCACAAUUGAGUCUGUGCGUAGAUUUGCGAAAGUGAUCAUCCGUUUCUUCGCUCCUGAGUAUCUCCGGGCACCCAAUGAAGAUGACACAAAGAAAUUGAUGGCAUCUAAUGAGAGGAGAGGCUGGCCUGGCAUGCUAGAUAGCAUUGAUUGUAUGCAUUGGAAUUGGAAAAAUUGCCCCAAGGCUUGGCAAGGAAUGUAUUGUGGCAAGUCUCGUGAUGCAACAAUUGUGCUAGAGGCCGUAGCAUCCGAGGAUUUAUGGAUUGACAUUGCUUUUUGGUAUGUAGGGCACUCUAAAUGA
rnacentral:rRNA from 1 species